UACAGAGGGUGCAAGCGUUAAUCGGAGUUACUGGGCGUAAAGGGCGCGCAGGCGGCUCAUUUUGUCAGGCGUGAAAGCCCCGGGCUUAACCUGGGAACUGCGUUUGAUACGGAUGGGCUAGAGUUCGGGAGAGGAGAGUGGAAUUCCCAGUGUAGAGGUGAAAUUCGUAGAUAUUGGGAAGAACACCGGUGGCGAAGGCGGCUCUCUGGACCGAGACUGACGCUGAGGCGCGAAAGCGUGGGGAGCAAACAGG
rnacentral:rRNA from 1 species